rnacentral:rRNA from 1 species
CGCUCCUUGUAAAAAUAUUUUAAUAUAAGGAGUCCUGCCUGCCCAGUGACAACGUUAAACGGCCGCGGUAUCUUGACCGUGCAAAGGUAGCAUAAUCAUUUGCCUUUUAAAUGGAGGCUGGAAUGAAUGGCAAGACGUGGUUUAAGCUGUCUCUUUUUUGCAUCUUGAAAUUAUCAUUCUCGUGAAGAGUCGGGGAUGGUUUCGUAGGACGAGAAGACCCUAUUGAGCUUUAGCGUAGUAGUUUAGGCAAUAAAAAUUUUUAAGUACUAAUAGAUUUUUUUAAAAAGUAGAAAUUUUAUUUUAUAAGUCUUAUUGUUUUAGGCUUAAUGCUUUAAUUGGGGCAAUUGCGGAGAAGAGAGACCCUCCGUUUCUAGGUUUUAUACAAAAAGUUACAUCUUUAGAGUACAGUUGUUGUAGAAAGUGAUCCACUAUAUAGUAGUGAACAAAGGAACAAGUUACCAUAGGGAUAACAGCGUAAUUUUCUUGGAGAGUUCAUAUUGAUAAGAAAGUUUGCGACCUCGAUGUUGGAUCGGGACAUCCUGGAAAUGCAGUAGUUUUCAAGGGUUGGUCUGUUCGACCAUUAAAGUCCU